rnacentral:rRNA from 1 species
GGUAAAGGCCUACCAAGACAAUGAUGCAUAGCCGAGUUGAGAGACUGAUCGGCCACAUUGGGACUGAGACACGGCCCAAAUUCCUACGGGAGGCUGCAGUAGGGAAUCUUCCACAAUGGGCGAAAGCCUGAUGGAGCAACGCCGCGUGUGUGAUGAAGGCUUUCGGGUCGUAAAGCACUGUUGUAUGGGAAGAAAAGUUAAGGUAGGGAAUGACCUUAGCCUGACGGUACCAUACCAGAAAGGGACGGCUAAAUACGUGCCAGCAGCCGCGGUAAUACGUAUGUCCCGAGCGUUAUCCGGAUUUAUUGGGCGUAAAGCGAGCGCAGACGGUUGGUUAAGUCUGAUGUGAAAGCCCGGAGCUCAACUCCGGAAAGGCAUUGGAAACUGGUUAACUUGAGUGCAGUAGAGGUAAGUGGAACUCCAUGUGUAGCGGUGGAAUGCGUAGAUAUAUGGAAGAACACCAGCGGCGAAGGCGGCUUACUGGACUGUAACUGACGUUGAGGCUCGAAAGUGUGGGUAGCAAACAGGAUUAGAUACCCUGGUAGUCCACACCGUAAACGAUGAACACUAGGUGUUAGGAGGUUUCCGCCUCUUAGUGCCGAAGCUAACGCAUUAAGUGUUCCGCCUGGGGAGUACGACCGCAAGGUUGAAACUCAAAGGAAUUGACGGGGACCCGCACAAGCGGUGGAGCAUGUGGUUUAAUUCGAAGCAACGCGAAGAACCUUACCAGGUCUUGACAUCCUUUGAAGCUUUUAGAAAUAGAAGUGUUCUCUUCGGAGACAAAGUGACAGGUGGUGCAUGGUCGUCGUCAGCUCGUGUCGUGAGAUGUUGGGUUAAGUCCCGCAACGAGCGCAACCCUUAUUGUUAGUUGCCAGCAUUCAGAUGGGCACUCUAGCGAGACUGCCGGUGACAAACCGGAGGAAGGCGGGGACGACGUCAGAUCAUCAUGCCCCUUAUGACCUGGGCUACACACGUGCUACAAUGGCGUAUACAACGAGUUGCCAACCUGCGAAGGUGAGCUAAUCUCUUAAAGUACGUCUCAGUUCGGACUGCAGUCUGCAACUCGACUGCACGAAGUCGGAAUCGCUAGUAAUCGCGGAUCAGCACGCCGCGGUGAAUACGUUCCCGGGUCUUGUACACACCGCCCGUCACACCAUGGAAGUUUGUAAUGCCCAAAGCCGGUGGCCUAACCGUAAGGAGGGAACCGUCUAAGGC